AGCUAUAUGAUAUAUUAUGUAGUUGUUUCUGCUCCAUGACUCUAUAAAUAGCCGCAGUACCCUGACUGUGCUAAGGUAGCAUAAUCAAUUGGCCUUUGAUUGAGGUCUAGGAUGAAUGAAAGAAUGGAUAGUGUCUGUCUGGUUAUAUUUUUAUAAAAUUUGUCAGUAAGUGCAAAUACUUACGCUACUAUAAAAGACGAGAAGACCCUAGAAACUUAUUUAUUUUUGCUGGGGCGGCAGAAUUACAUAAAACUAAUUUUUUUACUUGACUAGGUUGAGUUAGAACAAGUUACUCUAGGGAUAACAGCAUAAUUUAAAUAGUUUGUGACCUCGAUGUUGGAUUAGGUAUAAUAUUUUUAAGAGAAAAAUGUUACUUGCUCUGUUCGAGCAGUUUCACCUACAU
rnacentral:rRNA from 1 species